rnacentral:tRNA from 1 species
CGGGGUGUGGCGCAGUUGGUAGCGCGCAGCGUUCAGGACGCUGAGGUCGGAGGUUCGAGUCCUCUCACCCCGACCA